GGGGGGGGGGGGGGGGGGGCGGGGGGGGGGGAGGGCGGGCGGGGGCAGGCGUGCGGGGGCGGGGGAGUGGCGGACGGGGGAGUAAGGCAUCGGAACGUGCCCAGAGGUGGGGGAUAACGCAGCGAAAGGUGGGCGAGUACCGCAUGUGAUCGGAGGAUGAAAGCGGGGGACCAGGCAGCAAUGGUUGGCCUCGCGCCUUUGGAGCGGCCGAUGUCAGAUUAGGUAGUUGGUGGGGUAAAGGCCUACCAAGCCGACGAUCUGUAGCUGGUCUGAGAGGACGACCAGCCACACUGGGACUGAGACACGGCCCAGACUCCUACGGGAGGCAGCAGUGGGGAAUUUUGGACAAUGGGCGCAAGCCUGAUCCAGCAAUGCCGCGUGCGGGAAGAAGGCCUUCGGGUUGUAAACCGCUUUUGUACGGAACGAAAAGGCUCUGGCUAAUACCUGGGGCCGAUGACGGUACCGUAAGAAUAAGCACCGGCUAACUACGUG
rnacentral:rRNA from 1 species